AUUGAACGCUGGCGGCAUGCCUUACACAUGCAAGUCGAACGGUAACGGGCCUUCGGGUGCCGACGAGUGGCGAACGGGUGAGUAAUGUAUCGGAACGUACCUUUCAGUGGGGGAUAACGUAGCGAAAGUUACGCUAAUACCGCAUAUUCUGUGAGCAGGAAAGCAGGGGAUCGCAAGACCUUGCGCUGAUUGAGCGGCCGAUAUCAGAUUAGCUAGUUGGUGAGGUAAUAGCUCACCAAGGCGACGAUCUGUAGCGGGUCUGAGAGGAUGAUCCGCCACACUGGAACUGAGACACGGUCCAGACUCCUACGGGAGGCAGCAGUGGGGAAUUUUGGACAAUGGGGGCAACCCUGAUCCAGCCAUGCCGCGUGAGUGGAGAAGGCCUUCGGGUUGUAAAGCUCUUUCGGCCGGGAAGAAAUCGUAUCAGCUAAUACCUGGUGCGGAUGACGGUACCGGCAUAAGAAGCACCGGCUAACUACGUGCCAGCCGCCGCCGUAAAAC
rnacentral:rRNA from 1 species